rnacentral:rRNA from 1 species
UACAGAGGGUGCAAGCGUUAUUCGGAUUCACUGGGCGUAAAGGGUGCGCAGGCGGCCGAGUGUGUGAGGCGUGAAAGCCCGGGGCUUAACCCCGGAAUUGCACCUCAAACUACACGGCUAGAGCAUUGGAGAGGGUAGCGGAAUUCACGGUGUAGCAGUGAAAUGCGUAGAUAUCGUGAGGAACACCAGAGGCGAAGGCGGCUACCUGGACAAUUGCUGACGCUCAGGCACGAAAGCGUGGGGGAGCAAAAGGG